GAGACGUGGCUAAAAGCCGGUAAAGUACGGGUACAAAACGUCGGCAGGUAGUCGUGGGAGAUACAUACGUUGUACUUUGGUCGUUUAACUUAUGUUAUUGUGUCAUUGGUAAUAUCGAUAAUAUUUUCUGAUUUGUGAUUUUCUUGCUCGUAAUUUUAAAAGAUGCCAAGGACAAAUAAAAGGUUUAAAGCAACUGUAGCUGUCACAUAUCAUGAUGAGGAUGGCCAUGUUGAGAGAGAAGAGGUGGAUUUGUCAGAAUUGGUUACUGACGAUCAUACAGGAAGCUGUUCUUUUAACAGUCCUGAUAAUUGUGGUGCAUUGGAAGGCCAUGAACUGGGAAUGGAGUAAGUUAUCCUGUACGAGGUUAUUCAUUGCUUUGUAGGAUGGCAUGUUUUGGCCAUAUAAACUCAUGAACAUGCUGGUGUAUGAUUGUUCAUGCCAAACAGCUCGUCACAAAAGAAGUCUUUCUGUUGUUGAUGUUAAAGGCACCUUUUGUAGUGUUGAGGUACACUUUUGCUCAUGCUCUCCAGAGUUUGUUCAACUUCUGCAAUUUGGCCUUUGGGGUGGAACACCUACAAAACCAAGAAUUGCAUUUGCAAUUGAGUUUUUUUGAAUAGAUUCAUUCUGUGCAGAUGGAAUGCCAAGCAUCAAUAAAAAAGCAUUUGUCAGUCAUUUGAAGAGUUUAAUCAUAACCACAUAUUCUCCUCUUAUGCAACACCAAAAAUGUAUCCUGUCAUUAUAGAUGCUUUUGAAGAAUGUAGGUAACUGCAUGUAGGUCACUGAUUUAUUGCACUGCUGUACUACGUAUGAAUUGCUGGGAAAGUUGCAGUCAAUUUUAUAGCCUAAGAAUCUCAUCUUAAGAGAUGUAUUUAAUUGGAGGAAAUCAAAAUGCUAAAGUUUAUGAAUUUACAGACAUAAACUAAACAUGUUGAGCUGUGUUAUUCCUGAGCUUGAUGAAGGAAAUAUCUGUCCUACUUGUCCCAAAGUUUGUUGUCAACCAGCAUAUGUGGUCACUUGACACCCAUCUGUCAACACAUAACCUGGAUAUCUCAUUGGAUGACAAUCCUCGUUCUUUCAUAAUCUCACUGUAUGGGGUUCUGUACAAAAGCUUCUGAAAGGCUGUAAUUGAAGCAGCUGAUGGAUGUUCCAUCACCGUGACUGGUUUGUUCAAUGGUCGUGAAAACCAGGCAAUUUCCUCUUCGACUUCUACUUGUAUGUUUUUUAAGAUGUUACAUGGCAAGGAUCAACAACUGAAUCAUCAUCUGUACUGCAAUUUACACCUUUGGUAAACCAUUUCUCAAUCUUUGGCAACAAAGACUCAAAAGCCUGACCUCUAGUUAGCUUGCUCAAUACGAGCUCUAUCUUUUUUGAAGCUUUUUUGAGAGACAAAACCUCCAAAUAAAUUAUUUACAUAUAAUUAACAAAACUAAUUUCCAUUUCUAUAUUAUGAAUUUUUAAUGCAAGACUUUAAUCCUAUGUCAUGUCAGGGCCUAUAUUCAUGUUGCCUUGCACCCCCAUCCCCAUUGCACUGCAAAGGUCUGAAUUAAAUAACCUCAAUAAAAUUUGCAUGUAGUGCAAUGCAGUGGAAGUUCCGGGGUAAGUCAGAAUAUGUUUAUGUUUAGUAGCUUAAUAUAAAUUUAAAAUACUAUAAUAACAACACUGCUGAUAUUGUUAUAAUUAUUACUAAUUAUUUCCAAAAUAUUGCCAAUACGACAGUUGUCAAGUAGUUUCAUGUAUUCUGACUUACUCUGCAGCGAAAGUAGUGUUUGCAGUUCAGUUAAUGUAUGUGCAUAUGCUUAGUGUGAUGAAGCAAUUAAACUUGCAAUACCUUCGUAUUUUUAUUCCACAUACCGCUUUUCACGAAUAAUAAAGAACUUAAAACGUUCAGAUAUUUAGCUUUAUUAUAGAGCAAUACAAUGGAAGGAGAACAAGAAAGUUGACAAUGCACAUACGAUGAUGUUUUUUUACAAAAAAGUUAAAUUUACGUUUCGCGUGACAAAUUUCAAUAUGGUUUCUGUGCUCCGAUCUCUCGAUUUAGCUGCAUGUCCCAAAUCAUUGGUGUCUUAUCAAAGUGACUCUUCUGAUGAAGAGAGAAGUAAUAAUGAUAAAUCUAAAGAAGAUGAAAAGUCAAUCGAAAGCACUGUCAAUAUGGAUGCUCUAAAAUCUAAGUUUCUUUUAAACAGCGCGCCAAUUGUUGAUGCUAAGGAAGGAAUAGAUUGGAGAAGACACAUCGAUCCUUCAAUGAAAGAAGUUACAUUUAAUGCAAAGUUGGACAACAAAAUCCAUUUUAAACGAAGCAGCAAAGAGCACAUAAAAAUAUGUUGUCUGGCUAUGUUGAGCCAGCUCAUAUCAGUAAAUUUCAAUUUGAUAAUCAACUAAAAACAUUCUCAAGUUACGGUUAUGCAUUAGAUCCAAGUGAUGACACAGCUCACAUUGAAGAGAAAUUUGUUGGGGAUGUUGAGAAAGCAAAGGAUAGCAAGGGAUUGACUGUGUUUGAAGCUACAAAACAGCUGGCUGGAGAUUGGAAGAAGAGAGAGAAUAAGGCAGAUCCUGGUGUGAUUGAUGGAUACAAGGGACCAUGGAGUAAGUUUGUUGAUGAAGAAACUAUUGCUAAACCAUCUGAGGAAGAGUCGACAAUCCUUGAGGAGUAUGAAUUAUCGAAGAAAAACAAAUCAAAGAAAGAUGAUAUGAAACCUUCAGAAGAGAAAUCCGCAUUACACAUUAAAGAUGCAUAUGACUAUCAAGGAAGAUCAUAUCUUCACAUUCCACAAGAUCUUUGCAUUAAUCUCAAGUCAGAUACUCCUCCAGAACGAUGCUUUCUACCAAAACAACAUAUUCAUACGUGGUCUGGUCACACUAAAGGUGUUUCUGCAAUAAGAUUCUUUCCGAAAUCUGCUCAUCUUCUUCUGUCGUGUAGCAUGGAUUGUAAAAUUAAGAAACUGCAAAAUGAUAUUCAUGUAAGCACCAACGGCUCUGUUUUUGUAAAAUCUAACAUAAGACGAGGGAUUUUACCCAGAAUGUUAGAGGAGAUAUUAGACACACGUAUUAUGGUAAAGAAAGCUAUGAAAGAUUGUAAAGAUGAUAAAACUCUUCUUCAACUUCUUGAUGCUCGACAACUUGCUUUAAAGUUGAUUGCAAAUGUCACUUAUGGUUACACAUCCACAAACUUCUCAGGACGAAUGCCUUGUGUUGAGAUUGCUGACGCCAUUGUUCGUAAAGCACGCGAGACCCUGGAACGAGCUAUCAAUCUCGUGAACACAAGGGAUGAGUGGGGUUCUCGUGUGGUAUAUGGGGACACCGAUAGUCUUUUCGUGUUAGUAAAAGGUGCCAGUAAAGAGAAAGCGUUUAAGAUUGGAAAAGAAAUUGUUGAUGCUGUUACUGCAGAGAAUCCUAAACCUGUGAAACUAAAGUUUGAAAAGGUAUAUAUGCCUUGUGUUCUUCAAACAAAGAAAUGUUACGUUGGUUAUAUGUACGAAACAUUAGAACAGAAAGAUCCAGUGUUUGAUGCGAAAGGAAUAGAGACUGUACGGCGAGAUACAUGUCCAGCGGUCGCUAAGAUUUUAGAGAAGUCUUUAAGGAUUUUAUUUGAAGAAAGAGACGUGAGUCUUGUGAAGAAGUUUGUCCAGCGGCAGUUCGUUAAAAUGAUGAAAGAUAGAGUAUCGAUUCAGGAUUUCAUCUUUGCUAAGGAAUAUCGUGGUAUGAAAAGAUAUAAACCAAAAGCAUGUGUUCCAGCUUUGGAAAUUGCAAGACGUCAUUUGUCACGUGAUCGUCGCGUGGGAGAACGUGUACCUUACGUCAUUGUUAACGGCAGUCCUGGACUACCAUUGAUUCAAUUGGUUAAAGAUCCUAUUGAUGUGUUAAAUGAUAGAAAUCUACGCCUCAAUACCAUCUACUAUGUUCAGAAACAAAUACUUCCUCCAUUGGAUCGAGUUUUUUCCUUGAUUGGUGUUGAUGUGUUUUCAUGGUAUACACCACUACCCCGCUAUAUCCCUCGACAUCGUGUUAUUGCAAGGAAACAAAAACGUUCGAUUUCUCGGUUUUUUACAACUCUACACUGUCCUGUAUGUGAACAAUUAACACAGCAUGGUUUGUGUCAAAGUUAUCGUAGCAACCCUCAAAAGUCUGUCUUUAUUCUGGCAAGUAGAGUGGGGAACUGGGAAAGAAAAUACAGUCAUCUUAAAGAGAUAUGUUUUCAGUGUUGUGGAGCUAGAGAUGAACAACUGAGCUGUAUAUCACUGGAUUGUCCUGUUAUGUUUAAACUAGAGAAGUUAAAAACAAAUAUGGAAUAUGGAAUGACAUUAAGAGACUUUCAAAAAACAAUUGAAGAAAGUUAUGGUCAGUCAGAGCACAAAUCUAAAGGGUUUUGGAGUUCCAGUAAUUUAUAAUGGAUCAUAAUGGAUCACCAUUUCUCUAUUCUGUCAAGGAUUGCCAUCUAAUACAGACGUGAACAUUUUCUGUUAAUGCGAUCGAGAAACAUAGAACAAAUGUUUGUGGAUUUAAUUCACCAUGAUGGAGGACUUAUAUAAAUAAAGAAAUUGAUUAUUGACCACGAUGAAAA